CAGAGCCAUCCGCAAUACCGGCUCCAAUGAAUCUGUAGAUGCUGGAGUACUGCCUCUGGAUUUGCCCUUGCACAACAUUGAGGAGCUAAACAAUGCAGAGGCAGCUCUUCAAUCACAAGAGGCAAAUAAGGCAAUGGUGAGAUGCGUUGCCUUGAUUGGAGGGACCACACUAGAGGUGCAAGUCCGCCGUGUAAUGGCUUAUGCCAUUACAAACGUGCUGGCCUCAGUACUAAACUGGGCAGGGAAAAAACCAAGGAUCAGACAGAGCAAAAAAGGGCAUUUAAAGAUACAGCGCUGUGCAGAUGCAUAUUUGAUGGCCUGACGCAGCAGUUAGGGGCGAACUCUAUGUCCGAGUUUGUCUUUGCACAAGCAGUCCAGAAAUGGCUCCGAUACGCCCCAGAUCGUAUGGGUGGCGCAGGACGCACAUCAUCCAU